rnacentral:rRNA from 1 species
GACGAACGCUGGCGGCGUGCUUAACACAUGCAAGUCGAACGGAAAGGCCCUGCUUUUGUGGGGUGCUCGAGUGGCGAACGGGUGAGUAACACGUGAGUAACCUGCCCUUGACUUUGGGAUAACUUCACGAAACUGGGGCUAAUAUCGGAUAGGAGCUCCUGCUGCAUGGUGGGGGUUGGAAAGUUUCGGCGGUUGGGGAUGGACUCGCGGCUUAUCAGCUUGUUGGUGGGGUAGUGGCUUACCAAGGCUUUGACGGGUAGCCGGCCUGAGAGGGUGACCGGCCACAUUGGGACUGAGAUACGGCCCAGACGCCUACGGGAGGCAGCAGUGGGGAAUAUUGCACAAUGGGCGGAAGCCUGAUGCAGCAGCGCCGCGUGCGGGAAGACGGCCUUCGGGUUGUAAACCGCUUUCGCCUGUGACGAAGCGUGAGUGACGGUAAUGGGUAAAGAAGCACCGGCUAACUACGUG